rnacentral:sRNA from 1 species
GAUACCAGGGUCAAAAGGUCAUAAAUCCGAUGCAUGCUUGCUUGCAGGAGGAUUUUUGAACUUGGGACCCGCCAAAAACAUGAGUAAGGAGCCAUUUUUUGAAGAAAAAUGAGCGGAUUACGAAUGUUUUUAGAAUUGUUGGGAAGG